UGCUUCCCUGCACAGUCCCUGAGCAGCCUCAAUUCUGUCCUUUUGGUAUUCCCCUUCCUUCCCCUUUGUUUCUUUUGCCCAGUUUCUUGUCUGUGGUGCAAGGGGAAUGCCUUCACCCAUUGUCCUCCUUCCUCCCGGCACAGGUUCCCAAUAAGCCCACUUGCAUACUCACAGAGCCCCAGGCUGAGCAGGAGGAGCAGUGCAGGAGACCCGGCCAUCAUCCUCGAGGCGAUGCUGUGGAGCGCGGCUGAUCUUUCUCACUGAAGUUUGGAGGCAGCGUAACUUAUAGGAGAGGAUGUGAUGUCAUCUGGACCCUCUUCUGUGAAGAGGUGUUGUUCCGAAAAGAAUGAUUUCUGCGGCACUUCAUUUGUGAUCCCGAACUUGGACUCAUUUACUGUAAUAGCGUUUGUAGUGGUGCCUCAUCGAUUUUGCUCCGUUGUCUUCAGCUGAGGUUCAGACAGUGGUCCUGCCUGAAAUCAAAUCAGCCACCACAAACUGCAGUCUCGCAGCCAUUUCGGGCGCUCUCAUCAUGUCCACAUUUGCAGAAAACAAGGAUAAUUCCCGUGCCAUUGAGAUGGGCUGCAAGUUGUGUUUUAUGCAGGAGGCUUUAUUUUAGCAUAUUCUGCUAUUCUAUUUUCAGAUUGAUCCAUGUGCGCUUGUCAUCUCAGGGUCCA
rnacentral:lncRNA from 1 species